rnacentral:lncRNA from 1 species
AUCUCCAAAACCACCCCAUGUACACCCUCCCUAUGUUCCAAAACCUCCUCACUACCCUAAACCACCAGUUCAUCCACAUCCACCCCAUGUCCCAAAACCUCAUCCAAAGCCUCCAGUGCAUCCCCAUCCACCUUAUGUCCCAAAACCACCAGUUGUGCCAGUUACACCACCAUAUGUUCCAAAACCACCAAUUGUGAACCCUCCCUAUGUCCCAAAACCGCCUGUUGUGCCAGUUACACCACCUUAUAUCCCUAAACCACCAGUUGUGACACCACCAUAUGUCCCUAAACCACCAGUGGUGCCAGUUACACCACCAUAUGUCCCUAAACCACCAGUGGUGCCAGUUACACCACCUUAUGUGCCAAAACCACCCAUUGUGAAACCACCAAUUGUUUAUCCACCAGUUGUGCCAAAACCACCAAUUGUUACACCACCUUAUGUGCCAAAACCACCCAUUGUGAAACCACCAAUUGUUUAUCCACCAGUUGUGCCAAAACCACCAAUUGUUACACCACCUUAUGUGCCAAAACCACCCAUUGUGAAACCACCAAUUGUUUAUCCACCAGUUGUGCCAACACCACCUAUUGUGUAUCCACCUGUUGUACCAACUCCACCGGUGGUUACUCCACCCGUGGUUACACCACCAAGUCCUCCAAGUGAAACACCAUGUCCACCACCAC